rnacentral:rRNA from 1 species
AAUGAACGUUGGCGGCGUGGAUUAGGCAUGCAAGUCGAGCGGAAAGGCCCCGCAAGGGGUACUCGAGCGGCGUAAGGGAGAGUAAUACGUGGGUGACUUGCCCUCAGGACUGGGAUAGCCACGGGAAACUGUGGGUAAUACCGGAUAACGUCCCCGGACCAAAGGUGUGAUUCCGCCUGAGGAGAGGCCCGCGUCCUAUUAGCUAGUUGGUGAGGUAACGGCCCACCAAGGCAAAGAUGGGGUACGGGGUGUGAGAGCAUGCCCCCGCUCACUGGGACUGAGACACUGCCCAGACACCUACGGGAGGCAG